GUCUACGAUCAUAUCAUGUUGAAAGUAUCGGUUCUUGUGCGAAUACCGAAACUUAAGCAACGAGGAGCUCGGUUAGUACUUGAAUGGGUGCCCGCUUCGGAUUACUUGCUGCGUUAUAAAAU
rnacentral:rRNA from 1 species